UACGUAGGGAGCAAGCGUUGUCCGGAAUCAUUGGGCGUAAAGAGCGUGUAGGCGGCCCGGUAAGUCCGCUGUAAAAGUCAAAGGCUCAACCUUUGAAUGUCAGUGGAUACUGCCGGGCUAGAGUCCGGAAGAGGCGAGUGGAACUCCUGGUGUAGCGGUGGAAUGCGCAGAUAUCAGGAAGAACACCAACGGCGAAGGCAGCUCGCUGGGACGGUACUGACGCUGAGACGCGAAAGCGUGGAGAGCGAACAGG
rnacentral:rRNA from 1 species